UACGUAGGGCGCAAGCGUUAUCCGGAAUUAUUGGGCGUAAAGAGCUCGUAGGCGGUUUGUCGCGUCUGCCGUGAAAGUCCGGGGCUCAACUCCGGAUCUGCGGUGGGUACGGGCAGACUAGAGUGAUGUAGGGGAGACUGGACUUCCUGGUGUAGCGGUGAAAUGCGCAGAUAUCAGGAGGAACACCGAUGGCGAAGGCAGGUCUCUGGGCAUUAACUGACGCUGAGGAGCGAAAGCAUGGGGAGCGAACAGG
rnacentral:rRNA from 1 species